GAUUUCAGUAAUUGCUGUGGGGGGAAUCAAUCUCUCUCUCCGCCUCCCCUCCCCAACCUUCCUACACUGGGUUGUAUGCUUUGCUUGUUAAAGUAGGAAGUAAGAGUUUUCUUGUUUCAAAGAAGUUAAGGUUAAGAUUCCAGGGGGGUCUUAAUUUUUACUUGCAUGCCUUUAGGCUACCAUAUGAAAGUGGUCAUGAGGAGACGAUUCUUUUUUUGAAGGUGGGUGGGGAGGAUUAGAGAAAGUCAAACGGGGCAAGAUAAAAAAAGGAUGUCAGAUGGCAUCUUAUUGCAUGUGUAUGGUGAAAGU
rnacentral:lncRNA from 1 species